UCUUGAAUGCAGUGUGAUAUUAAAGGAUCCCAUUUAAGAUUUUUGUAAUAUGCUUCAAAGACCUGUGGGUUGCAAAGUUACCACUUUUGAGGACACAUGCUCCAUGAAGCACCUUAUGUGACAAUUUACAAUUAUUGUGCACCUGCCACCACACAUGGCUAAUUUUUGUAUUUUUAGUAGAGAGAGUGUUUCAUCAUGUCGGCUAGGCUGGUCUAGAACUCCUGAUUUUGUGAUCUGCCAGUCUCGGCCUCCCAAAGUGCUGGGAUUACAGGUGUGAGCGAUCGUGCCCAGCCUGUCUUGUCUUUUCAAAACCAUCCUUGGUGAUUCAGUGUUAAAUAUGUACUAGUGGAUGUUACUUUGCUGAAUAUUGCCUAGUGAAUAUUAAGUAUUCUCGCCUUUCAGACAUGAAGUUAUGAAUUUAAGAUGUGAAGAUUUACAGCUUGAUAAACCAGCUUCAGGAGGCAGGUCUUCAGUCUUAAGUCAGAUUGGAAGAUUAUAUGCAGGCCGGCCAUGGUGACUCACGUCUGUAAUCCCAGCACUCUGGGAGGCCGAGGCGGGUGGAUCACGAAGUCAGGAGAUGGAGACCAUCCUGACUGACAGGAUGAAACCCCAUCUCUACUAAAAAUACAAAAAAUUAGACGGGUGUGGUGGCAGGCACCUGUAGUCCCAUCUACUCGGGAGGCUGAGGCAGGAGAAUGGCAUGAACCCAGGAGGCGGAGCUUGCAGUGAGCCGAGAUCCCGCCACUGCACUCCAGCCUGGGCGACAGAGCAAGACUCUGUCUCAAGAAAAAAAAAAAAAAAGAUUAUGUGCAAUAAGUAUUUAAUGCUUAACAUUGUUUUUUUUAAAAUGGUACCUUCCACAUGAAAUAAUAUGCCUGUAACUAUUAAUUAUGUUCCAGGAUAGGAGAAUUCAUGUUGUCAAAAUUCUUUUUUUUUUUUGAGAUGGAGUUUUGCUCUUGUUGCCCAGGCUAGAGUGCAAUGGCACAAUCUUGGCUCACUGCAACCUCUGCCUCCUGGGUUCAAGCAAUUCUCCUGCCUCAGCUUCCCGAGUGGCUGAGAUUACAGGCAUGCACUACCACACCCGGAUAAUUUUGUAUUUUUAAUAGAGACGGGGUUUCUCCGUGUUUAUCAGUCUAGUCUCGAACUCCCAACCUCAGAUGAUCCAUCUUGGCCUUCCAAAGUGCUGGGAUUACAGGCGAGAGCUACUCCGCCUGGCCUCACGUUGUCAAAAUUCGAAUACUCUCUAAAACAGUGAACUCAUUUUCUUUUUUUCAUCUCUUAAUUGUUAGAUGUGUUUU
rnacentral:lncRNA from 1 species